AGGACUCUUGCCACACCCUGGACUCUCCACAGAUAUAUAUUUUUUUUCCUUUCCUUGCCUAGUUUAUCCAUACCUCACAACCUCUGAGGAUGCCUGCCAUAGAUGUGGGCGAAACGUCAGGAGAGAAUACUUCUGGAACAUGGCCACACAGCCCGAAAGACAUACAACAACCUUGUGAUCCCAGCCAUGAAAGCCUUCGACAACACAUCUUCUGAGGUGUACCGUACAACUAGAGUUUCCACUUCAGGAUUGUCAAAGACACUGAGGAUUCCAGUCCAAAACGUUACACCUACAGACAGCCCCUGUUUGGAAGUUAAGGCAGAAAUCUUAGCAAAGGGGCUGUUCCCAGAUCAAGGAAGGAAGAGUAACAGGAUGCCGAGAACAUCUCAACUGCGUACUUAGCAGUACUUAACAUACCACCCUGAUACCUUCAGCACUGGCAAUAUGAGGCUGUUCAUUAAGCAGAUAUCCUGAGAGCACAUCCAUUGCAGGAUGUGUGGACGUGAGGUGUAAAAAAGUAACUGGGGAUGUGAAAAAUUCUGCUUCCAAUUUUGGUGCAUUUACAGUAUUUGAAUUCCCCUUGCAUUUUUGUUCCAUUUGUUGUUUAUUCCAGAUUACCCAACUUUAAUUCUGCUCCCUAUAUGGAAAUAGAAAUGUAUACAUAUAGAGGCAGUUCCCAAGUUACGAACAAGAUAGGUUCUGUAGGUUUGUUCUUAAGCUGAAUUUGAAUGUAAGUUGGAACAAGAACAUUUUCAAAAUGUAACUCCAGACAAAUCACACUCACUCACACACACUCACACACACACACACACAAGCUUUGAAUAGCAUAGGGAAGGGUUACGAACCUUAUAGUGUUUUUGUUUUUGUUUUUUGCUGUCUAUGCCCCUGAUCAUAAGAUUCCCCUUCACUUUCUGUCCCUGUGAUAAUUGGAUUUUGACGAACUUGGCUUCUUGUGGAAAGAAGGAUUGGUGAAAAAUCUUCAGUAAAUAUACUUUUUCCCAAUGAUAACACUUUCAGAAGUAGAUUUUUCUCAAUUCCUGUUGUCUCACCUCCAUUCUCAACUGAGUUGUUUAUAAGUCAGAUGUUUGUAACUCAGUUACUGCCUGUGUACUAGGGUUGUCCAAAUAUUCGUUAUGUUUCUCAUUUUGUAAUUAUUUCGGAUUGUUCUCGUUUUUUGAAACGAGUAUUGAAACGUUUUCCCUGGGUGCAACUGGCAAUGUAAUUCGAACCAUCAUUGGCCCAUUCUCUAAUUGUUUCUUAAAAUUUUUGUUAAUUUUUUUCCUUCCAAAUUUUUUUUUAAUAUUUUUUAAAAAUUAUUAUUUAUUUAUUUUUUUGUUUCUGCAACCUAACAUGAAUGGGAGCCUAGCGCAGCCUAACAUGGCCGCUCCCUGGCCAAUCAGAGUCUUCCACGAUGGCUGCCAAAGGUGGGGGCUAGCGUCCUCCGUGUCCACGUGGAGGAUCUCUAUGAAAAUCCCCAACCGCAGCCGACCCAAGCCAUUCUGGGUUGGGAUACCGAGGAGAGAGGGUGUUUGGCGCGCGCUGGGAAGCUGCUGCUUGCUUGUUUGGGGGAGAGAGGGCUAACUGGGGGUAGAGUGUUUCUGUUGUUGCUGGUUCGAUAUUGUGUUUUUUGGGGGGGUAAUUGGCUGGGGGCUGGGGCAGAGUCCUUGCUGUGGCUGGCUUUAGGGAACUUUUUUUUCCAAAGGACGUCUGCGUUCCUGCAAGUGCAUUGCUUCCCUCCCACUC
rnacentral:lncRNA from 11 species